UGCUGUAGGAGAGAAUACCACGGCGAGAUCUAACAGUCAUGGUUAUACGCGCAGCUUGGAAAUUGAUUCCGCCUCUCGUACUGACAGGCAUGCUGCCAGGUCAGAUUCUGUUCUAGUGGCACAGCGCCGAGACUGCAUACAAAUUUACCCUGAGUGGCUGGAGAAAAUUGAUUCAGGCAAAAAGAUGUGGACAGCUCUCAAACAAUUUCGAGCAAAUGGGAAGCAUGAAGAGGUUAGUAUAUACUCAUGUUCUGGUGUGCUUUGUUAUCAAAUAAUUUUCAUUGUGUGUUAAUCAUCUCAUAACAUAUGGAGUGUUUUCUUGAUGGGCAUUCAGACCAAAUGAUGAACGAAUUAGAUCCUAGGUUCUCCAAAAUAUGACAUUGUGUUUUGCUUCAGUUACCUGAUAGAUUUUCAGCCUUUGCGUCAAAAUGAUUUUAUGCAUUUGUUUUCGCACUAACUUGUAUUUUUUUAACCACAACAAUGCAUAUAUGUAAGAAAAACUCAUGGUCAUUUGUGUGGUUGAUAGAAAUCAGUUAACAUCUCAAUUUCCUCAUGUGCUAUUGUAUGACUACGGAGAUUUUUUCUGACAUGCUCCCUCUUACCUCCCCUUUUCACAUCAGACGUAAAAGUAUAAAAUAAAUCUGAGUCAUUGACUGCAUUAAGUAGUGGACUUGACUAAAUCUUACCUUCUUAACUCCAAUGUGAAAAGAUGGGGUAAGAGGAAGCAUGUUAAAAUGGCUCAUGAAUGUGGUGCUGCCGCCAGUGGCGGAGCUUGAGCAUAAUCCAAGAGGGCCAUUACUUAAAGGGGAGCAAAUUAGAAGGGAAGGAUGGGCAAAUAUCUAGUUUAAACACUAGUUAGGCUUAAAAUAUAGUAUAUUCAUUGAUGGGUGCAAAAAUUGAGGGGGGCCAUGGCCCCUAUUGUUCUACAUGAAGCUCCGCCACUUACUGCCGCACAUUCUACAGUGUUGUUAUAGCCACUGACUGAAUCUUGUUUUUGCACUAUAUCCAAAUGUACUAGCAUUCAUAAGACACCAAUCUGCCAGGAUCUCGGCUUUUGGCCUUCUGCUAGGAUGCACUAAAGAUAUUGAUAAGUCUCGCCAUUCUUGGAUGUUGUGAAGGUUACCUGACUAGAACAGAUUGAUCUGGAGAAGGAUAUGGCGGCGCGGCAAACCUAAAGUAGCGAUGAUGCAAGAAAUGGAAUGUGAUCGAGAAUGGUAUUCUCUCCGGGUGCACACCAGAGAGAAUACAAAUUAGGGUCUGCAUGGACGACCAAAACACAUGAUAUUUUUUCAUCAACUAGCCCAUCCUUUUUCCUUUGAUCUACUAACAUUGGUUUCAAGUUAUUGUAGAAGUUUCUUAUAGUGACUGGUUAAAAUAAUUCACACAUGUUCGUCUAUUCAUGCUAUGUUUCACAAUCUGAUCCGAUGAUGAAUAUCCAUUUUUUCUAAAAAUAGUGCAUCUACCUCUAAUUCUUUCGCAUUCAAUUAUAAAAUUAAAUUCGCCGAAGAAGGGAAAACCUCCCACUUUCAACCAAUAUGAGCUUGAUCUAAACCAGAUCUUCCUUCGGGCCGGGACGGAUUUGGGUCGGGCUUCACAAAGCCUGGAGUCAACAUUCCAAGCCCGAGCCCGGCUUGGCCCGGCUCAAAGCACAUGAACAAUGGCUUCUCAAUUUAAAUAAUUAUAUUCGGGAUAUUAAAAUGAUAUAAUAUACCUAUAUUUUGAAUAAAAUUUACAUUUGUUGCCAUUUCGGGCUUUUGGGCCGGGCUUCGGGCGAGAAAUUGAAGCCCAAGCCUACCCCAGAUGUCGGGCUUUGGGCUCGGGCCUCUGAGCCGGGUAGUCCAUGAACAGGUUUAGUUUGACCUAUUCACUCACAUUUUGAUCCUCGUUCAUUAUAGCAUUUAACCAUAAUUCAUAUGAACAUGCACCACGAGAAUAUAAUAAAGAAAAUGGGUCAAUUUGUAGUAUACAACGCCUUAUUGUGCGAUAUCACAAGAACAUUUUUCUCCUUGAUUACAGUAGUAACUAUUGUGCGAUCUUAUAUGUCAAAUCAUAUAUUAUAUGACAAAUUAAGUAUAUUGUUUUGCUUAUUUCAGUAUUACCUUCAUAAGGAAUAUAGUCACAAAUUUUGCUCCAAACGCAACGUUAUUGAGUUCAUACGAAAUGGAGCUGUGGAAGGGAAGCCGGUACAGAAGGUGCCUAAAUACUUGACUUUCAAACAUAUAGUAAUUAUGCGAAGAUGUAUAUGUUUUUUGUAUUAACUUUAAAAUAUUAAUUUGACAUGGUAUCCUAUUUUUGCACAGAGAUCAUCUGAUACUUCUACGAACAAUCUUCAGGGUAUGUCCAGUUGGCCCCAUGCAUUUGGAUAUUAUUUUGUCUACUAUAGUUACUAUACAGAGAAAUCUAAUUGAAACUAAAAUAUAAUAAAUAUUCAUGGAGAGAAAAAUAGACAUUAAUGUCCACAUACACAACACAAUUAACCAGUACUGUCCUAGUUUACAUGAAUUAAUAUUUGCAAUGACAUUUAGGUUACUCAUGACAUGAUAAAGAAAAAGUUUUUUUUGAGGUGAGAUAAGGUUUUAUAUAACUGUUCAUGGGGGCCUCCUCAUGGUUGCAGACACAUAGUUUUACAGUGCUUCAUGAAAUAGUUGCAUAUCAUCAUGUCUAAAAGAAGAAUCAUGACGGACACAACUUCAAGAAAUUCUUCUUGUAAAAUAACAUAAUUUGUAUAUACCUCAUAGAGUAUGUAACUUGUUGGUAGCAUUUAAUAUUGUGACACACUAGCCAUCAUUUGUGCCAGCAUUAUUUGGGUGAUGAUUUAAUAUCCAAAAGCGUACAUCAAGGUAGUUAUGUGUAAUGAUAUUCUUGUGAAAAUAACUUCCAUAGUGUAUACUUGCAUAUAUGUGUUGUUCUAUUGUAUUCUCACAGUUAAUCCUUUUUCUUAAUUUUUUGUUUGUUUACUUAUGUUUAGAGCAAGAUUAUAAAUUAAGCUGAGCAUAAUUUCUGCAGAUUAUAGAUGGCCCACUAAAAGAAAAAGGACGAAGGCGCAAACUUCGAGUAAUUCUUCUUGCCACAUAGGUUUUUCUAAUUGUGCGAGGAUACCACUUGUAACUGCCUUCAGUCAUCUAUGUCAGUAGUAUUUUGAGAAGAAUUUCAUUACAAAAUGCAACGACUCAAACAAUCAGAUCGUUCAUGAUGAUUCCUAAUUUUAUAACCAAUAAGCUUAACACACCUUCCUAUUUUAGAGUUGUUAUCUUAAUAAAUAUAUACUAUCUGUUAUUAAUGUUGUUGUUGGCUGAAGAACAUUUGUUGCUCAUGGUUAGAAUGUAGAAUUUUCUUAACACAACAACAUAGAGCGAAUGUGGAGGCCAAUAUAGAUUGAAACCAUUAAUUCAUAUUAAAAUGGUCAUGACUUCUUAUUUUUAUUUGACAUAAAUGUUUGUUACUUGUUUGAAUUAAUGUGUUCUGCAAUUAUAUGAUACUUCUAUAUUCAUACUAUUUUUAUGAAAUGUGCAGCUAGUUUGUCGACGGGAGCACGAACAACCACAACUUCUACAAAGCUUCCGCAUGGUUUCAUCUAGUAUCAUGCGGAAGACAUUGAGACAAUCAAGAUUACUUGAGCAACCUGAAUUAUCUUAGUUGUUACCUGCUUUCAAACGAAUGUGUCCUCUCAUAGUAUGCAUGUACUUCUGUUGUUGAGGAAUUUAUAUCAUUGGACAGUUCUAUUUUUCAUAAUUAUUUAUUAAUGGGUACAUAACUUCAAUCCUGGAAGAUUAUCAGAUAGCCAGUCAAGGAAGCGAUUUGUUUAUUGAAUUGUGCAUAAUAGGGACAUUUUUACAUUCAAAGGAACAUCGUAGGAAUAAUUUG
rnacentral:lncRNA from 1 species